UACGUAGGGUGCAAGCGUUAAUCGGAAUUACUGGGCGUAAAGCGUGCGCAGGCGGUGAUGUAAGACAGUUGUGAAAUCCCCGGGCUCAACCUGGGAACUGCAUUUGUGACUGUAGAGCUGGAGUACGGCAGAGGGGGAUGGAAUUCCGCGUGUAGCAGUGAAAUGCGUAGAUAUGCGGAGGAACACCGAUGGCGAAGGCAAUCCCCUGGGCCUGUACUGACGCUCAUGCACGAAAGCGUGGGGAGCAACAGG
rnacentral:rRNA from 1 species